CUGAUGGGAAAAAAAUCUACCUGUAAAUGUUUAAAAUUUUAUUUUUUGGUAUGUGUUUCCCAAUUUAUGGUGACAUCUCUCUCCUUUCAAAGGAUCAACUAUUCCUAUCUGCAAUACACAGUAUCAGAAGACAGUACAAAAUGAACGUUACUGUAUUUAUUCGACUUCCAUCGUUGUGUACGUCUACACUACCCGCUGGAUCUAUCUAUUGGGGAUCGAUGUAUCGCGUCUCGUCUAGAUGUGAUACAUCAAUCCCUGAAUGCACUCCCCGUCGACUCUGGAACUCCACUAGGGUGAGAGACGGAAGCGGAGUUGAUGGGGGAGCGGCGGCCAUCGAUCCCACACCGCAAGGACGCGAAUAGGCUCAAGGCGGUGUACGUGGACAGGAGCGCCACGUGAUCCCUCACCUGAGACCGGGAGGUGCCCUUAACAAGCCAAUCAUCCAGAUAUUUCCCUAUCUGUACCCCCUUCCCACGAACAUGCAUUUUGUAAACACCCUGGGGGCAGUGGACUGCCCAAACAGAAGGACCGUAAAUUGGUAAUGAUUCUGUCUCACCACAAAAUGGAGGAAGCGCCUGUGCCCCUUGAAUAUGUGGAUGUAGAAGUACACAUCCUGUAGAUCGAGGGCAGCAUAAUGGUCCCUGGGAUCCAGGGAGCGGAUGAUGGAGGCCAGGGAGACCAUGCGGAACUUGAGUUUCCCCAUGUGCUGGUUCAGAACCCAGAGGUCCAGUAUGGGCCUGAGACCCCCUUUGGCCUUGGGAUAAGGAAAUAAUGGGAGUAGUACGCCUUGCCCAUGAACUCCUCAGACACUGCCUCUAUUGCUCCUAGUCCUAGGAGCCACCUCAUCUCCUGCUCGAGCAGGGCUUCGUGUGAGGGGUCCCCCAGGAGGGAUGGGGGCACGGGGUGGUUGGGCGAGGAGGAAGUAAACUGGAGGGUAUAACCCCAGCAAAUGGUGUUGAGGACCCAUCGGUCCAAAGU